rnacentral:rRNA from 1 species
UACGAAGGGUGCAAGCGUUACUCGGAAUUACUGGGCGUAAAGCGUGCGUAGGUGGUUUGUUAAGUCUGAUGUGAAAGCCCUGGGCUCAACCUGGGAAUUGCAUUGGAUACUGGCAGGCUAGAGUGCGGUAGAGGAUGGCGGAAUUCCCGGUGUAGCAGUGAAAUGCGUAGAGAUCGGGAGGAACACCAAUGGCGAAGGCAGAUCUCUGGGCCGUAACUGACGCUGAGGAGCGAAAGCAUGGGGAGCGAACAGG